rnacentral:rRNA from 1 species
GACGAACGCUGGCGGCGUGCUUAACACAUGCAAGUCGAACGGAGUGGCGAACGGGUGAGUAAAACGUGGGUGAACUGCCUUGCACUUCGGGAUAAGCUUGGGAAACUGGGUCUAAAAACGGAAUGUGCAAGAUGAGCACUCGGCCUAUCAGCUUGUUGGUGGGGGAAUGGCCUACCGAGGCGUCGACGGGUAUCCGUACUGAGAGGGGGUACGGCCACAUUGGGCCUGAGAUACGGCCCAGAGGCCUACGGGGGGCAGCAGUGGGGAAUAUUGCACAAUGGGCGGAAGCCUGAUGCAGCGGCGCUGCGUGGGUGAUGAAGGUCUUCGGGUUGUAAACUCCUUUCGACAGGGACGCGGUACCUGUAUAAGAAGCACCGGCUAACUACGUGCCAGCAGCCGCGGUAAUAC